GCCGUGAUUGCAUAGUGGUCAGUACUUUGUGCUGUGGCCGCAGCAACCUCAGUUCAAAUCCGAGUCAUGGCA
rnacentral:tRNA from 1 species